rnacentral:rRNA from 1 species
UACGUAGGGUGCGAGCGUUAAUCGGAAUUACUGGGCGGAAAGCGUGCGCAGGCGGUUAUGUAAGACAGUUGUGAAAUCCCCGGGCUCAACCUGGGAACUGCAUCUGUGACUGCAUAGCUAGAGUACGGUAGAGGGGGAUGGAAUUCCGCGUGUAGCAGUGAAAUGCGUAGAUAUGCGGAGGAACACCGAUGGCGAAGGCAAUCCCCUGGACCUGUACUGACGCUCAUGCACGAAAGCGUGGGGAGCAAACAGG